rnacentral:rRNA from 1 species
UACGAAGGGGACUAGCGUUGUUCGGAAUUACUGGGCGUAAAGCGCACGUAGGCGGAUUUGUAAGUCAGGGGUGAAAUCCCGGGGCUCAACCUCGGAACUGCCUUUGAUACUGCAAAUCUCGAGUCCGAUAGAGGUGGGUGGAAUUCCUAGUGUAGAGGUGAAAUUCGUAGAUAUUAGGAAGAACACCGGUGGCGAAGGCGGCCAUCUGGACGACAACUGACGCUGAGAUGCGAAAAGCGUGGGGAGCAAACAGG